GGGCUGUGGGGAGCGGGGAAGAAGAAAACGAACCGUUAAAGUUCUGUUGCUCCCUCUCCCCCAGCAUCCUCCUGGGACAUACAGCGAUGGCCCCCACACCUGGAAGGACUCAAGCUCUGAAUCCAGCACCUUCAGGAAGCAAGUGAUGGCAUCCCAGAGGCCCUAUGCUUGAGACAGACUGACGAAAACAGGUGGAUCUAGGUAAAAUCAGUCUCUGCUACCCUCCUCAUCUAAACCCUCAGUGCAGGGCCACCUUGGAAGCCAUGUGUUAACACUGAGUGAUCCUCCUCAGCCAAGUCCCUAAUGCAUGGAAAAGAACCUCCUGACCCAGUCCCCAAAGGCUGGACUUUUCCUUUGCAAGAAAUAAGGAGGGUAAAGUUCACCAUAAAUAACAAAGUCAUGGAGUCAAGCUGUCACAAUUGGCCACCGUUCCUAAGGCAUUUGAAUUGUAUGCAUUGACAGGAAAAAGCAGGAAGGAGUGAAGACAGAACAAGGGGAGAAUGUAACCUGAGUUGGAAGGUGUAAUAUUUAAAUGUAUUUGCAAACCUGUUUUGGGCCAAAAGGGGUAGGAGGAAGAGAAGACGCAUUUGCUGAGAUCUAUUAUAUGCCAAUUGGAGGACUACAGAUUUCACAAUUCACAUCUGUUGUCUUAUUUCUUUCUCAUAAUCCCAAAGAUAAUUCUAAAGUUACACAUUAUCAUCUCCAUUUACAAUUAAGAACUGAUGCUCCAAGAAGAAAGAUCUCACAGUGUGUAGGCAACAGACCUAAGAUUCAAACCUAUAUUGGUGGGUGUUAAUGUCCUUGUUCUUUCUGAUGUAAGCAUGUAACAUUUCCACAUCUCUGAUUCCAUGCUCAAGGUGGGCCAAGCCAUGCUGCUUGUAAGACAGGGUGCCUGUGAUGACACAAGUCAUUAAUGCAAGUGUUAAGUGCCAUGCAAGCACAGAAGCCACUUAAAAUGGGUUUUCGGAAAUGAAAGCUGGGCUCAAACAGAGCCCACUUUCAAGGGGGCCUGGUUUAAGUGGCCAAACUCUCAAGAAGAAAGGCAUUAAAGGAAGAGCCUUUCUGCUGGGCUGGCAAAACUUUAGGUUCAUGAAUUCAGGAGGAGACUGAGGAGGAGAAAACAGGGUUUUAGAAUGCAGCCUCAGGAGCUGCCUGCACCUCUCAGGCCAGGAGGUUGGCUUUUCCAAUUGUGCGAUUAAGCUAUUCUACCCAGCCCCACCUCUCAUUUUCAAUUAAUCUGCACUAAUGAAUUCAACAACCAAAAUGCAUUUGCUAAUUGAGGUGCUUGCUGGCCAGGUCAUCCGCGCUCCCUUGUCUAACAGCUGGUACUCCCCACUGUGCCACGGUAAAGUAGGGUAGUAGAGGCCUCUGCUCCCCUCAUCCCCUGCUGCCCCUGAGGGGAAUACCCAGUGGGCAAGAAAAGGCCCAGCCUGGGAGAGAAUGCUCAUAAUAUAUUACUAAGUCACAGACAGAAAUUGCUCCUCCGGGCAGUCUUUCACUUUUUGUUUCUAAGUGAAAGCUCAUGACCAUCCCAGCCAUAUUAUCUCCCUGGCCCUUGGAAGCUGUUAUGUAAUGGAAAGGGCAUUAAACUCAGGCCAGGAAAUUCUUGAUACAGAACCCAGACUGUUGUUGAUAACUGGGUUGACUUUGGAAAGUGACUGCCUCCCUCCCUCUCGGUUUGCUCAUCUGGAAAAUGAAACUAAUGGAACUGACCUUGGAGUCAUGGUGAAGUGCCCGUGAAUGUAAUC
rnacentral:lncRNA from 1 species